GAUGAACGCUGGCGGCGUGCCUAACACAUGCAAGUCGGGCGAGAAACCAUCGAUUGAAACUUCGGUAGAUAUUGAAGGCGGAAAGCGGCGGACGGGUGAGUAACGCGUAGGCAACCUGCCCCUUUGCAGAGGGAUAGCAACGGGAAACUGUUAUUAAACCUCAUAAUACCGUAAUGUCAAAUGAUGAAACGGUCAAGAUUUAUCGGCAAAGGAUGGGCCUGCGUCUGAUUAGUUAGUUGGUAGGGUAACGGCCUACCAAGGCAGCGAUCAGUAGCCGACCUGAGAGGGUGAUCGGCCACAUUGGAACUGAGACACGGUCCAAACUCCUACGGGAGGCAGCAGUGGGAAUAUUGCACAAUGGGCGAAAGCCUGAUGCAGCAACGCCGCGUGAAGGA
rnacentral:rRNA from 1 species